CCUACGGGAGGCAGCAGUGGGGAAUAUUGGACAAUGGGGGAAACCCUGAUCCAGCGACGCCGCGUGAGUGAAGAAGUAUUUCGGUACGUACAGCUCUAUCAGCAGGUAAGCAAAUGACGGUACCUGAGUACGAAGCCCCGGCUAACUACGUGCCAGCAGCCGCGGUAAUACUUAGGGCGCAAGCGUUAUCCGGAUUUACUGGGGGUAAAGGGAGCGUAUACGGUGCGCCAAGUUUGGAGUGAAAUGCCGCAGCUUAACUGCGGAACUGCUUUGCAAACUGGCGAACUAGAGUGCGGGAGGGGUAAGCGGAAUUCCUAGUGUAGCGGUGAAAUGCGUAGAUAUUAGGAGGAACACCGGUGGCGAAGGCGGCUUACUGGACCGUAACUGACGUUGAGGCUCGAAAGCGUGGGGAGCAAACAGGAUUAGAUACCCUUGUAGUC
rnacentral:rRNA from 1 species